rnacentral:rRNA from 2 species
UAGUAAUCGUGGAUCAGAAUGCCACGGUGAAUACGUUCCCGGGCCUUGUACACACCGCCCGUCACACCAUGGGAGUGGGUUGCAAAAGAAGUAGGUAGCUUAACCUUCGGGAGGGCGCUUACCACUUUGUGAUUCAUGACUGGGGUGAAGUCGUAACAAGGUAACCGUAGGGGAACCUGCGGUUGGAUCACCUCCUUACCUGAAAGAAGC